GAGUUUGUAGCUCAGCGGUACAGUGCAUGCUUUGUAUGUAUAAUGUCCAGGGUUCAAUCCUCAGCUUUUUUC